rnacentral:rRNA from 1 species
GACGAACGCUGGCGGCGUGCCUAAUACAUGCAAGUAGAACGCUGAAGGAGGAGCUUGCUCUUCUGGAUGAGUUGCGAACGGGUGAGUAACGCGUAGGUAACCUGCCUGGUAGCGGGGGAUAACUAUUGGAAACGAUAGCUAAUACCGCAUAAGAGUAGAUGUUGCAUGACAUUUACUUAAAAGGUGCAAUUGCAUCACUACCAGAUGGACCUGCGUUGUAUUAGCUAGUUGGUGGGGUAACGGCUUACCAAGGCGACGAUACAUAGCCGACCUGAGAGGGUGAUCGGCCACACUGGGACUGAGACACGGCCCAGACUCCUACGGGAGGCAGCAGUAGGGAAUCUUCGGCAAUGGACGGAAGUCUGACCGAGCAACGCCGCGUGAGGGAAGAAGGUUUUCGGAUCGUAAAGCUCUGUUGUAAGAGAAGAACGAGUGUGAGAGUGGAAAGUUCACACUGUGACGGUAUCUUACCAGAAAGGGACGGCUAACUACGUG